rnacentral:rRNA from 1 species
GAUGAACGCUGACAGAAUGCUUAACACAUGCAAGUCUUUGGCUAAGCUGUGCUUGCACAGCCUAGCCAAGGCGGACGGGUGAGUAACGCGUAAGGAACUUGCCCUGCAGUCAGGGAUAACAGACGGAAACGACUGAUAAGACCUGGUAAAGUCAGGCGGACUCAUGUCCAGCCUGAUGAAAAGAGAUGCUGCAGGAGAGCCUUGCGUCCUAUUAGCUUGUUGGUGGGGUAACGGCCCACCAAGGCGAUGAUAGGUAGCCGGCCUGAGAGGGUGGACGGCCACAAGGGGACUGAGAUACGGCCCUUACUCCUACGGGAGGCAGAAGUGGGGAAUAUUGGACAAUGGGGGCAACCCUGAUCAAGCAAUUCUGUGUGCACGAUGAAGGUUUUCGGAUUGUAAAGUGCUUUCAGCAGGGAGGAAAAAAAUGACGGUACCUGAAGAAGAAGCGACGGCUAAAUACGUG